ACUAAGCGUACACGGUGGAUGCCCUGGCAGUCAGAGGCGAUGAAGGACGUGCUAAUCUGCGAUAAGCGUCGGUAAGGUGAUAUGAACCGUUAUAACCGGCGAUUUCCGAAUGGGGAAACCCAGUGUGAUUCGUCACACUAUCAUUAACUGAAUCCAUAGGUUAAUGAGGCGAACCGGGGGAACUGAAACAUCUAAGUACCCCGAGGAAAAGAAAUCAACCGAGAUUCCCCCAGUAGCGGCGAGCGAACGGGGAGCAGCCCAGAGCCUGAAUCAGUGUGUGUGUUAGUGGAAGCGUCUGGAAAGGCGCGCGAUACAGGGUGACAGCCCCGUACACAAAAAUGCACAUACUGUGAGCUCGAUGAGUAGGGCGGGACACGUGGUAUCCUGUCUGAAUAUGGGGGGACCAUCCUCCAAGGCUAAAUACUCCUGACUGACCGAUAGUGAACCAGUACCGUGAGGGAAAGGCGAAAAGAACCCCGGCGAGGGGAGUGAAAAAGAACCUGAAACCGUGUACGUACAAGCAGUGGGAGCACAGAGCAAUCUGUGUGACUGCGUACCUUUUGUAUAAUGGGUCAGCGACUUAUAUUCUGUAGCAAGGUUAACCGAAUAGGGGAGCCGAAGGGAAACCGAGUCUUAACUGGGCGUUAAGUUGCAGGGUAUAGACCCGAAACCCGGUGAUCUAGCCAUGGGCAGGUUGAAGGUUGGGUAACACUAACUGGAGGACCGAACCGACUAAUGUUGAAAAAUUAGCGGAUGACUUGUGGCUGGGGGUGAAAGGCCAAUCAAACCGGGAGAUAGCUGGUUCUCCCCGAAAGCUAUUUAGGUAGCGCCUCGUGAAUUCAUCUCCGGGGGUAGAGCACUGUUUCGGCAAGGGGGUCAUCCCGACUUACCAACCCGAUGCAAACUGCGAAUACCGGAGAAUGUUAUCACGGGAGACACACGGCGGGUGCUAACGUCCGUCGUGAAGAGGGAAACAACCCAGACCGCCAGCUAAGGUCCCAAAGUCAUGGUUAAGUGGGAAACGAUGUGGGAAGGCCCAGACAGCCAGGAUGUUGGCUUAGAAGCAGCCAUCAUUUAAAGAAAGCGUAAUAGCUCACUGGUCGAGUCGGCCUGCGCGGAAGAUGUAACGGGGCUAAACCAUGCACCGAAGCUGCGGCAGCGACGCUUAUGCGUUGUUGGGUAGGGGAGCGUUCUGUAAGCCUGCGAAGGUGUGCUGUGAGGCAUGCUGGAGGUAUCAGAAGUGCGAAUGCUGACAUAAGUAACGAUAAAGCGGGUGAAAAGCCCGCUCGCCGGAAGACCAAGGGUUCCUGUCCAACGUUAAUCGGGGCAGGGUGAGUCGACCCCUAAGGCGAGGCCGAAAGGCGUAGUCGAUGGGAAACAGGUUAAUAUUCCUGUACUUGGUGUUACUGCGAAGGGGGGACGGAGAAGGCUAUGUUGGCCGGGCGACGGUUGUCCCGGUUUAAGCGUGUAGGCUGGUUUUCCAGGCAAAUCCGGAAAACUAAGGCUGAGGCGUGAUGACGAGGCACUACGGUGCUGAAGCAACAAAUGCCCUGCUUCCAGGAAAAGCCUCUAAGCAUCAGGUAACAUCAAAUCGUACCCCAAACCGACACAGGUGGUCAGGUAGAGAAUACCAAGGCGCUUGAGAGAACUCGGGUGAAGGAACUAGGCAAAAUGGUGCCGUAACUUCGGGAGAAGGCACGCUGAUAUGUAGGUGAAGUCCCUCGCGGAUGGAGCUGAAAUCAGUCGAAGAUACCAGCUGGCUGCAACUGUUUAUUAAAAACACAGCACUGUGCAAACACGAAAGUGGACGUAUACGGUGUGACGCCUGCCCGGUGCCGGAAGGUUAAUUGAUGGGGUUAGCGCAAGCGAAGCUCUUGAUCGAAGCCCCGGUAAACGGCGGCCGUAACUAUAACGGUCCUAAGGUAGCGAAAUUCCUUGUCGGGUAAGUUCCGACCUGCACGAAUGGCGUAAUGAUGGCCAGGCUGUCUCCACCCGAGACUCAGUGAAAUUGAACUCGCUGUGAAGAUGCAGUGUACCCGCGGCAAGACGGAAAGACCCCGUGAACCUUUACUAUAGCUUGACACUGAACAUUGAGCCUUGAUGUGUAGGAUAGGUGGGAGGCUUUGAAGUGUGGACGCCAGUCUGCAUGGAGCCGACCUUGAAAUACCACCCUUUAAUGUUUGAUGUUCUAACGUUGACCCGUAAUCCGGGUUGCGGACAGUGUCUGGUGGGUAGUUUGACUGGGGCGGUCUCCUCCUAAAGAGUAACGGAGGAGCACGAAGGUUGGCUAAUCCUGGUCGGACAUCAGGAGGUUAGUGCAAUGGCAUAAGCCAGCUUGACUGCGAGCGUGACGGCGCGAGCAGGUGCGAAAGCAGGUCAUAGUGAUCCGGUGGUUCUGAAUGGAAGGGCCAUCGCUCAACGGAUAAAAGGUACUCCGGGGAUAACAGGCUGAUACCGCCCAAGAGUUCAUAUCGACGGCGGUGUUUGGCACCUCGAUGUCGGCUCAUCACAUCCUGGGGCUGAAGUAGGUCCCAAGGGUAUGGCUGUUCGCCAUUUAAAGUGGUACGCGAGCUGGGUUUAGAACGUCGUGAGACAGUUCGGUCCCUAUCUGCCGUGGGCGCUGGAGAACUGAGGGGGGCUGCUCCUAGUACGAGAGGACCGGAGUGGACGCAUCACUGGUGUUCGGGUUGUCAUGCCAAUGGCACUGCCCGGUAGCUAAAUGCGGAAGAGAUAAGUGCUGAAAGCAUCUAAGCACGAAACUUGCCCCGAGAUGAGUUCUCCCUGACUCCUUGAGAGUCCUGAAGGAACGUUGAAGACGACGACGUUGAUAGGCCGGAUGUGUAAGCGCAGCGAUGCGUUGAGCUAACCGGUACUAAUGAACCGUGAGGCUUAACC
rnacentral:rRNA from 1 species